UACGGAGGGAGCUAGCGUUGUUCGGAAUUACUGGGCGUAAAGCGCACGUAGGCGGCUUUGUAAGUUAGAGGUGAAAGCCCGGGGCUCAACCCCGGAAUUGCCUUUAAGACUGCAUCGCUUGAAUCCGGGAGAGGUGAGUGGAAUUCCGAGUGUAGAGGUGAAAUUCGUAGAUAUUCGGAAGAACACCAGUGGCGAAGGCGGCUCGCUGGACCGGUAUUGACGCUGAGGUGCGAAAGCGUGGGGAGCAAACGGG
rnacentral:rRNA from 1 species